rnacentral:rRNA from 1 species
CCCGAAGCCGGUGGAGUAACCUUUUAGGAGCUAGCCGUCGAAGGUGGGACAGAUGAUUGGGGUGAAGUCGUAACAAGGUAGCCGUAUCGGAAGGUGCGGCUGGAUCACCUCCUUUCUAAGGA